UUUCCGUAGGUGAACCUGCGGAAGGAUCAUUAUUGUAUAACCGAGGUGCGAGGGCUGUCGCUGACCCGAAAGAUCGUGCACGCCCGAGUGCCCUCACACACAUCCAUCUCACCCCUAUGUGCACCACCGCGUGGGUCCCCCUUUGGCUUGUUCGGAGGGGGGCUUACGUUUUCACACAAACUUUGUAUGCAGUGUAGAAUGUAUUUUUUGUUUUUGCGAUCACGCAAUCAAUACAACUUUCAACAACGGAUCUCUUGGCUCUCGCAUCAAUGAAGAACGCAGC
rnacentral:misc_RNA from 1 species